UGGCCGGUGGCACCGCGUCGCGGUAGGGGUCUCCUUGCGGCAGCUGGCCCUGUACGUGGACUGCGCACUGGUGGAGAAUGUGAACUGGACCUACCCAAGCCUGGAAGUGUCCACUGACGGCCUGAUUAUGAUCGGAGGCAUCGUGGAGGGCUUUGAGACGCCUUUCAAGGGUGAUCUGAGGCAGGCCACAUUCUUGAUGGGUGACCCAGAUGCUGCAGCCAACCACUGCACCCUUCACCAGCCCGCGUGUGGGCCAGCUGCUCCAAAACCCCCCCGCUCCCCAAAGACCUCCCACACUGAGCUCAUGCUGUCCUCAAACGAUCUGGAAGACUUGCCGGAAAGUUCAGACAGUCUCCCCAGUGUUGAGUCUCUCCUGACGGAUCCUGUUUCGCCCCAAGGCGGGAAUCCCCGUGGUGAUGGCACGGCCCCAUUGGGUCCCAGGCGACCGGGAUCUGUAACACGGGGAGACGUCUUCCUGGUGGAGGAGGACACCGACCUUGCAGAAUCUCACCUCCCUUUCAGAUACAGCACUCCGCCACCCGCAAAGCACAUACCAGGCCCCAAACCAGACCCUGCCUCCAAAGACCAGGAUGAAAACAUCACCACAGACAAGAUCAGGGUGGCCAGUGGAGGGCGGAGCCGUGACACAUUUCCAGGGAAACCCUCAGAUGACAUUAUCGACCUCGACUCUGCCUCCCCAUCUGGCCCCCAGAAGAAACCCUCACCUGGUUUCAUCGGGGAAAAGGAGACACCAAAACUCCAUGAGCGCCCUGAUUCGACCCUGCUAAAAGAGGAGGAGCUUCUGCCCUCUACGGUGACUCCGCCCACCCCACGGCCGAGCCCAGACAUGGAGACCAAUAGGGCAGAGCGAGGGCCAGCCAUUCCUACGGUGGACACAGGGAGCAGGCAGACGCCAGCCUGUGACAAGGACCUGGUACGAGGUGCCGACGGCAGGAUGUACCGAGUUCUGAGGGGAUCCCCGGGGCCAGUGGGGCCUCCUGGAAGGACAGGCUGCCCUGGUGCAAGAGGAUACCCUGGGUUUAAAGGCAGCAAGGUGAGGUGGACUCAUACUCAUGUUCUUCCUAAAUCCAGCUGCCUCACUCUGCCUUUGUGGACAGUUCCGUAGGUCUCAUGAUGCUUUUGAAAAACUCUUUGUAGGGGGUGCGGGGACCAGCUGGGCGCGAAGGCUGGAGGGGCGAGCCAGGGCCCCCUGGACCCCCAGGCCUGCCCUACCUCUACCUGUGGAGGAAUUCGGUGGAAGACUGGGCCACCUUCAGGGUGAGUGCACACACAGCGUGGGUGUCACAUGUACAGCACAACGAGCAAGAGCC
rnacentral:lncRNA from 1 species